rnacentral:rRNA from 1 species
GACGAACGCUGGCGGCGUGCUUAACACAUGCAAGUCGAACGGUAAGGCCCUUCGGGGUACACGAGUGGCGAACGGGUGAGUAACACGUGGGUGAUCUGCCCUGCACUUCGGGAUAAGCCUGGGAAACUGGGUCUAAUACCGGAUAGGACCCUGGGAUGCAUGUCCUGGGGUGGAAAGCUUUUGCGGUGUGGGAUGGGCCCGCGGCCUAUCAGCUUGUUGGUGGGGUGAUGGCCUACCAAGGCGACGACGGGUAGCCGGCCUGAGAGGGUGACCGGCCACACCGGGACUGAGAUACGGCCCAGACUCCUACGGGAGGCAGCAGUGGGGAAUAUUGCACAAUGGGCGCGAGCCUGAUGCAGCGACGCCGCGUGAGGGAUGACGGCCUUCGGGUUGUAAACCUCUUUCAGCACCGACGAAGCGCAAGUGACGGUAGGUGCAGAAGAAGGACCGGCCAACUACGUGCCAGCCGCCGCAGUAA